UACGUAGAAAGCUAGCGUUGUCCGGAAUCAUUGAGCGUAAAGCGCGUGUAGGCGGCCCGGUAAGUCCGCUGUGAAAGUCGGGAGCUCAACCCUCGGAUGCCGGUGGAUACUGUCGGGCUUGAGUACGGAAGAGGCGAGUGGAAUUCCUGGUGUAGCGGUGAAAUGCGCAGAUAUCAGGAGGAACACCUAUUGCGAAGGCAGCUCGCUGGGACGUGACUGACGCUGAGACGCGAAAGCGUGGGGAGCGAACAGG
rnacentral:rRNA from 1 species